rnacentral:rRNA from 1 species
AUUGAACGCUGGCGGCAUGCUUUACACAUGCAAGUCGAACGGCAGCACAGCAGAGGUAACUCUGUGGGUGGCGAGUGGCGAACGGGUGAGUAAUACAUCGGAACGUACCCUGUUGUGGGGGAUAACUACGCGAAAGCGUAGCUAAUACCGCAUACGCCCUGAGGGGGAAAGCGGGGGGACCCUAAAUAGAGCGCACUGGGGAGUGCGUUGUAUUUAGGGCCUCGCGCAAUAGGAGCGGCCGAUGUCGGAUUAGCUAGUUGGUGAGGUAAAGGCUUACCAAGGCGACGAUCCGUAGCUGGUCUGAGAGGAUGAUCAGCCACACUGGGACUGAGACACGGCCCAGACUCCUACGGGAGGCAGCAGUGGGGAAUUUUGGACAAUGGGGGCAACCCUGAUCCAGCCAUGCCGCGUGAGUGAAGAAGG